rnacentral:rRNA from 1 species
AUGCCCGCGCUGAGACUUCCCCUGGAAAUCAAGAUUCAAGAACCAUCUCCAUCAAUGGAUGACGCGGGAGGGGACAUUCUCCCGUCUCUCGGCCGCGUGCGCCUCGGCGAUCUCGCGGCCGUCGAGGGCCUCGCUUCUGACAGCUACAAGAUAUGCGUAUCGACACUGAUGCAGUCGCUGGCUCAGUACUCGGCAGUCAUCAUCCAGCUGCCCCCGGCCGAUGCUGCCCUCUUAAGGUCUGGUCUGGACUCCGCUCGCCUCUUCUUCCACCAGCGAGUGUAUGAUUCGGUGGGCGACGUUGUCCAUUCAGAUGACGCCCGCGAGUGGAAGACAUCUGGUUACUAUGCAGAUCCUCAAAUGUGGCUGGAAAUGUAUGAUUAUAGGCCUGGUGUUACUGUCAGAGAGCAUGGUGGCGCAAUGGAAUUGUCCCCGUCUGGGCUGCCCGACAUAUUUUCAAUGCUUGGGAAAGUUUGCCGAGAUAUCUUGGAUGCGGUUAGCUUCUCACUGAAUCUCCGUAGUUGUGUGUUUACUGAGAUACUCGACAACAUGCCAUUGAGAAGCCAGGAAGUGUCGUCCUCUGUUCUUUCAGCAUGUUGCCAUUCGAGGCCAUCAUUUGAAGAAGCACAGCAGCAUGGCAUUGCUUCUCCUGAUGACAGUCAAUUGCUCAUGUUUUCUGAGCAGGAGCAACAGAUCGACAAGACUUUGCUUACACUAGUUAAGUCUGAUAGGUCAGGCUUAUAUAUCAAGGACUUGCAUGGACGCUGGAUUCUUGUUGAUGGGGACCUUGGUCCACAUGAUAUUGUUGUAUAUCCUGGCCUUGCGCUUUAUCAGGAAACCUCUGGCUAUGUAAAUCCAGCUGUGCACAAGACAGAGGUUGGAAACUUGCAGGGAUGUAUGUUCGGGCGUUGUUCUUUGGCGUUUAAGCUCACACCGAGAUUUGUUGCUAGGCCUGGUGGUUCAGAGAUGGGAGCUGCUGGUCAUGGUGUUGAUACUCAGUUUCAGGUCCCCGUAACAGUUACUGAGUUCAUGCAAACAGAUCAUUCCGCUGAUCAACUUUUUCCCAAGAACAAUGAAUCAUCAUCCCAGGCAGAGCAGGAUGCAUCACCUAACUCCGCGACAAAGGAAAAAAAGGGAAUUACAAGAACAAAGUCACUCCCUCCUUCCAAAAGACUUCGCCUAGAGGCACAGAGAGUGCUCAAGCAGCGUGUCCAGGAUAUUGCAGACAGGAGAGGCAUCAAACUGAGAUUUUGCAAUCUCAAAGAAUGUGAAAGUCACAUACGAUCAUUGGACAGUCCUUGUGAUAAUAUCCGAACUGAAAUCGGAUGGCCGCAAGGGGUUCCAUUUGUCCAUCCACAUGACCUCCCAAACAAAGCAAAGCUUGGGUUUCUGGAAGCUUAUGAACCGGGAUGGACUGCUUCCCAGCAAGACGAGAGCCAGUCUCUGUAA